AGCGAGACGGAGUUGAGCAUUUGCGGGAAAGGGAGCGAUACGAGGUAACACGUCCACUUUUGCGGGGAUGACCAUGUCUUUAAUGUAAAUCCUAAUAACCCGCUCGCCUUCUUGCAACCGUACUGCGACUUUGUUCCAUUUCUGGUACUCCACCGUGUCCGCGUAUUGGUCAGAUAAAGCUUCGAUGGGACUGGGAUCAAUCCCUUGUGCUUGCCUCACUGAAACUUCGACCUUAAGGCCAUUGUUGGCACUGACACCUGAUAUCUUCAGCUUG
rnacentral:ribozyme from 1 species